rnacentral:rRNA from 1 species
CACGCAGGCGGUUUGUUAAGUCAGAUGUGAAAUCCCCGGGCUCAACCUGGGAACUGCAUUUGAAACUGGCAAGCUAGAGUCUCGUAGAGGGGGGUAGAAUUCCAGGUGUAGCGGUGAAAUGCGUAGAGAUCUGGAGGAAUACCGGUGGCGAAGGCGGCCCCCUGGACGAAGACUGACGCUCAGGUGCGAAAGCGUGGGAAGCAAACA